AUUGAACGCUGGCGGCAGGCCUAACACAUGCAAGUCGAGCGGAGCGGCGGACGGGUGAGUAAUGCUUGGGAAUCUGCCUUGUGGAGGGGGAUAACUACGGGAAACGGGCGCUAAUACCGCGUACCAUAGGCUGAGCCCAGGUGGGAUUAGGUAGUUGGUGGGGUAAAGGCCCACCAAGGCGACGAUCCCUAGCUGGUCUGAGAGGAUGACCAGCCACACUGGGACUGAGACACGGUCCAGACUCCUGCGGGAGGCAGCAGUGGGGAAUAUUGCGCAAUGGGGGCAACCCUGACGCAGCCAUGCCGCGUGUAUGAAGAAGGCCUUCGGAUUGUAAAGUUCUUUCGGUAGCGAGGCGUUAACUACAGAAUAAGCACCGGCUAACUCCGUGCCAGCAGCCGCGGUAAUUC
rnacentral:rRNA from 1 species